AUUGACAACCACCACAGUCAGCAGUAACAUAUCCUUUUUCAUUUCGGAUUCGUUUUGUUACUAAAGGACGUUUGUUCCACUUCGCAUCUGAAUUGACAAGGAAUGGACUCUUCAGCUCUGACAGCAAAUCUCUCUUCAGAAGUCUGGAAAAGCAGAAAGAGAAGAAUGAAGAAAUGUCCACAAAACUGCUCCUAUCCUUUACACCACAUAGGACCAAACUCUUACCUUUCAUCAGUUUUCAGUUUGUACAUUAAUGUAUCCUGGUGAAGUUCCUCAACCACUUCUGCAACAUUCAAUUUUAAUUUAUAUUUGCCCACAUCAUUUCAUUUGUGAUUUGGACACAUGCAGGCUACUGAAUAUAAUGGAUACAAAUCUCUCACUGAUUCCCUUGAGCUAUUUCAUAGUUCUGCUUUCACAGGCAGGAGACAGUGAAGAAAUAAUGAUUCAGUUAUUUCUUAAAGAUUUCACAAUUCUACAUUCAAUAAAGAAUAUGUGAAUUCCUGGAA
ensembl:lncRNA novel transcript